rnacentral:rRNA from 1 species
GACGAACGCUGGCGGCGUGCUUAACACAUGCAAGUCGAACGGUGAAGCGCCUUCCUUUUUGGUGGGUGUGGAUGAGUGGCGAACGGUUGAGUAACACGUGAGUAACCUUCCCCCUUCUUCUGGAUAACCGCAUGAAAGUGUGGCUAAUACGGGAUAUUCUGCGUCUGUCGCAUGAUGGGUCUGGGAAAGAUAUUGUUUCGGUGGGGGAUGGGCUCGGGGCCUAUGAGCUUGUUGGUGGGGUGAUGGCCUACCAAGGCGGGGGGGUGUAGACGGCCUGAGAGGGUGGACGGUCACAGUGGGAGUGAGGCACGGCCGAGACUGAUACGGGAGGCAGCAGUGGGGGAUAUUGAACAGUGGGCGAAAGUGUGCUGCAGCGAGGCGGCGUGAGGGAUGGAGGCCUUCGGGUUGUGACCCUCUUUCGCUAGUGAAGCAGGCCUGCCUGGUUUGUGGGUGGGUUGACGGUAGCUGGAUAAGAAGCGCCGGCUAACUACGUG